ACGGCGAGUGAAGCGGGAAGAGCUCAAUUUGAAAAUCGUCUACCUAAGCGGGUCGACGAGUUGUAGCCUAGAGACGUACUAUCAGCUGAAACCUGGGUAUAAGUUCUUUGGAAUGAGGCAUCAUAGAGGGUGAGAAUCCCGUAUAUGACCCAAAGCUUUCAGCGUACGAUGUAUGUUCAUCGAGUCGAGUUGUUUGGGAUUGCAGCUCUAAAUGGGUGGUAAGUUUCAUCUAAAGCUAAAUAAUGGCGAGAGACCGAUAGCGAACAAGUACCGUGAGGGAAAGAUGAAAAGAACUUUGAAAAGAGAGUUAAAAGUACUUGAAAUUGCUAAGAGGGAAGCGCUGACAACCAGUGCUUCACGCCGUUCAUCGCUGUCAGCCCCACUGGGCGACGUGCGCAGUUGGUCAAACUCUGCGUCGCGUCGUCGAAAGGGAGGUUGGCGGUUUAGGACGGCGGGUGAGUCAAGAUCCGUUUGGACUGUGGGAGAAAGUGGUGAGAAAGGUAGGAAAGCUUCGGCUUUCUGUUAUAGUCUCAUCACCCUACCUCGGCCUAGACGGAGGAAGGAAUAGUGCGCCGCUUGCGGCUUAGUCCCGCGCCUCUACGGCCCCAACUGUGUUGAUAGCAAUGCUAUCCUCACGGCGAAGUGGUCGUACUGGGCGCGGUGACUCUAUGUGCUAUCACGA
rnacentral:rRNA from 1 species